rnacentral:rRNA from 1 species
CACUAUCGUUAACUGAAUACAUAGGUUAACGAGGCGAACCGGGGGAACUGAAACAUCUAAGUACCCCGAGGAAAAGAAAUCAACCGAGAUUCCCCCAGUAGCGGCGAGCGAACGGGGAGCAGCCCAGAGUCUGAAUCAGCUUGUGUGUUAGUGGAAGCGUCUGGAAAGUCGCACGGUACAGGGUGAAAGUCCCGUACACGAAAAUGCACAGGCUGUGAACUCGAAGAGUAGGGCGGGACACGUGGUAUCCUGUCUGAAUAUGGGGGGACCAUCCUCCAAGGCUAAAUACUCCUGACUGACCGAUAGUGAACCAGUACCGUGAGGGAAAGGCGAAAAGAACCCCGGCGAGGGGAGUGAAAAAGAACCUGAAACCGUGUACGUACAAGCAGUGGGAGCACCUUCGGGUGUGACUGCGUACCUUUUGUAUAAUGGGUCAGCGACUUAUAUUCUGUAGCAAGGUUAACCGUAUAGGGGAGCCGAAGGGAAACCGAGUCUUAACUGGGCGUUAAGUUGCAGGGUAUAGACCCGAAACCCGGUGAUCUAGCCAUGGGCAGGUUGAAGGUUGGGUAACACUAACUGGAGGACCGAACCGACUAAUGUUGAAAAAUUAGCGGAUGACCUGUGGCUGGGGGUGAAAGGCCAAUCAAACCGGGAGAUAGCUGGUUCUCCCCGAAAGCUAUUUAGGUAGCGCCUCGUGAACUCAUCUUCGGGGGUAGAGCACUGUUUCGGCUAGGGGGCCAUCCCGGCUUACCAACCCGAUGCAAACUACGAAUACCGAAGAAUGUUAUCACGGGAGACACACGGCGGGUGCUAACGUCCGUCGUGAAGAGGGAAACAACCCAGACCGCCAGCUAAGGUCCCAAAGUCAUGGUUAAGUGGGAAACGAUGUGGGAAGGCCCAGACAGCCAGGAUGUUGGCUUAGAAGCAGCCAUCAUUUAAAGAAAGCGUAAUAGCUCACUGGUCGAGUCGGCCUGCGCGGAAGAUGUAACGGGGCUAAACCAUGCACCGAAGCUGCGGCAGCGACACUCUGUGUUGUUGGGUAGGGGAGCGUUCUGUAAGCCGUUGAAGGUGGCCUGUGAGGGUUGCUGGAGGUAUCAGAAGUGCGAAUGCUGACAUAAGUAACGAUAAAGCGGGUGAAAAGCCCGCUCGCCGGAAGACCAAGGGUUCCUGUCCAACGUUAAUCGGGGCAGGGUGAGUCGACCCCUAAGGCGAGGCCGAAAGGCGUAGUCGAUGGGAAACAGGUUAAUAUUCCUGUACUUGGUGUUACUGCGAAGGGGGGACGGAGAAGGCUAUGUUAGCCGGGCGACGGUUGUCCCGGUUUAAGCAUGUAGGCGGAGGUUCCAGGUAAAUCCGGUACCUUUUAACGCUGAGGUGUGAUGACGAGGCACUACGGUGCUGAAGUAACAAAUGCCCUGCUUCCAGGAAAAGCCUCUAAGCAUCAGGUAACAUCAAAUCGUACCCCAAACCGACACAGGUGGUCAGGUAGAGAAUACCAAGGCGCUUGAGAGAACUCGGGUGAAGGAACUAGGCAAAAUGGUGCCGUAACUUCGGGAGAAGGCACGCUGAUAUGUAGGUGAAGCCCCUGCGGGUGGAGCUGAAAUCAGUCGAAGAUACCAGCUGGCUGCAACUGUUUAUUAAAAACACAGCACUGUGCAAACACGAAAGUGGACGUAUACGGUGUGACGCCUGCCCGGUGCCGGAAGGUUAAUUGAUGGGGUUAGCGGCAACGCGAAGCUCUUGAUCGAAGCCCCGGUAAACGGCGGCCGUAACUAUAACGGUCCUAAGGUAGCGAAAUUCCUUGUCGGGUAAGUUCCGACCUGCACGAAUGGCGUAAUGAUGGCCAGGCUGUCUCCACCCGAGACUCAGUGAAAUUGAACUCGCUGUGAAGAUGCAGUGUACCCGCGGCAAGACGGAAAGACCCCGUGAACCUUUACUAUAGCUUGACACUGAACACUGGUCCUUGAUGUGUAGGAUAGGUGGGAGGCUUUGAAGCGUGGACGCCAGUCUGCGUGGAGCCAACCUUGAAAUACCACCCUUUAAUGGCUGGUGUUCUAACGUAGACCCGUAAUCCGGGUUGCGGACAGUGUCUGGUGGGUAGUUUGACUGGGGCGGUCUCCUCCCAAAGAGUAACGGAGGAGCACGAAGGUUAGCUAAUCCUGGUCGGACAUCAGGAGGUUAGUGCAAUGGCAUAAGCCAGCUUGACUGCGAGCGUGACGGCGCGAGCAGGUGCGAAAGCAGGUCAUAGUGAUCCGGUGGUUCUGAAUGGAAGGGCCAUCGCUCAACGGAUAAAAGGUACUCCGGGGAUAACAGGCUGAUACCGCCCAAGAGUUCAUAUCGACGGCGGUGUUUGGCACCUCGAUGUCGGCUCAUCACAUCCUGGGGCUGAAGUAGGUCCCAAGGGUAUGGCUGUUCGCCAUUUAAAGUGGUACGCGAGCUGGGUUUAGAACGUCGUGAGACAGUUCGGUCCCUAUCUGCCGUGGGCGCUGGAGAAUUGAGGGGGGCUGCUCCUAGUACGAGAGGACCGGAGUGGACGCAUCACUGGUGUUCGGGUUGUCAUGCCAAUGGCACUGCCCGGUAGCUAAAUGCGGAAGAGAUAAGUGCUGAAAGCAUCUAAGCACGAAACUUGCCCCGAGAUGAGUUCUCCCUGA